CGAGCUGGUCAGGCGAUCGCUUCCGCGGCACGCGAGUGCGGGCGGGGGAGGAAAGUCCGGGCUCCACAGGGCAGGGUGCCAGGUAACGCCUGGGGGGCGCGAGCCUACGGAAAGUGCAACAGAAAGUAUACCGCCCGGUUCGCCGGGUAAGGGUGAAAUGGUGCGGUAAGAGCGCACCGCAUCGCUGGCAACAGCGGUGGCGAUGGUAAACCCCACCUGGAGCAAGACCAAAUAGGAAUCCAUGUGCCGUGGCCCGCGGUGGAUUCGGGUAGGUCGCUACAGGCAACUGGUGACAGUUGUCGCAGAUGAAUGAUCGUCCGAGACAGAACCCGGCUUAUCGACCGGCUCGACAA
rnacentral:RNase_P_RNA from 1 species